UUUUAGUUUGGUGUAAGAUUUGGUACAAAAUGGUGCAAAAUUUGGUGUUGGGUUGGAGAUGGCCUUAGGGUUGGAACCCAGCACCAAAUUUUGCACCAAAUCUUGCACCAAACUAAAA
rnacentral:miRNA from 1 species